UACGUAGGGUGCGAGCGUUAAUCGGAAUUACUGGGCGUAAAGCGUGCGCAGGCGGUUUUGUAAGUCAGGUGUGAAAUCCCCGGGCUCAACCUGGGAAUGGCAUUUGGGACUGCAAGGCUGGAGUACGGCAGAGGAGACUGGAAUUCCUGGUGUAGCAGUGAAAUGCGUAGAUAUCAGGAGGAAUACCGAUGGCGAAGGCAGGUCUCUGGGCUGAUACUGACGCUCAUGCACGAAAGCGUGGGGAGCAAACAGG
rnacentral:rRNA from 1 species